rnacentral:rRNA from 1 species
UACGUAGGGACCAAGCGUUGUUCGGAUUUACUGGGCGUAAAGGGCGCGUAGGCGACGUGGUAAGUCAGUUGUGAAAUCUCCGAGCUUAACUCGGAACGGCCAACUGAUACUGCUGUGCUAGAGUGCAGAAGGGGCAAUCAGAAUUCUUGGUGUAGCGGCGAAAUGCGUAGAUAUCAAGAGGAAUACCAGAGGUGAAGACGGGUUGCUAGGCUGACACUGACGGCUGAGGCGAGCGAAAGCCAGGGGAGCAAACAGG